GAUGAACGCUAGCUACGGGCUUAACACAUGCAGGUCGAGGGGCAGCAUGGUCUUAGCUUGCUAAGGCCGAUGGCGACCGGCGCACGGGUGAGUAACACGUAUCCAACCUGCCGUCUACUCUUGGACAGCCUUCUGAAAGGAAGAUUAAUACAAGAUGGCAUCAUGAGUCCACAUGUUCACAUGAUUAAAGGUAUUCCGGUAGACGAUGGGGAUGCGUUCCAUUAGAUAGUAGGCGGGGUAACGGCCCACCUAGUCUUCGAUGGAUAGGGGUUCUGAGAGGAAGGUCCACCACAUUGGAACUGAGACACGGUCCAAACUCCUACGGGAGGCAGCAGUGAGGAAUAUUGGUCAAUGGGCGAGAGCCUGAACCAGCCAAGUAGCGUGAAGGAUGACUGCCCUAUGGGUUGUAAACUUCUUUUAUAAAGGAAUAAAGUCGGGUAUGCAUACCCGUUUGCAUGUACUUUAUGAAUAAGGAUCGGCUAACUCCGUGCCAGCAGCCGCGGUAA
rnacentral:rRNA from 1 species